GGUGCGGGGAACUGAGCCCGUGCCGGAAAUGGCCGGGAAGGUGCACUGUCCUUCCCCCACCCUGCCUCUGUCACGCGAUCCCAGCCGGGAUCAUAGGUACGUCUCCCCCCGCGUCUGUACCUCACUUCUCUCCACACACCGUCCAUGUGGAAAAGGUAUCCUCACGGUGUAUUGAAGAUAUCAAAGAAAAAAAGAAAACCCCGUGAAAACAACCCAGAAGAGUAAAGAAAAGAAAAGCAAAGAAAAGGCAAAAGAAAGCAAAUGUCUUUCAAAAGAAAAAACACUGCACUUGAGCUGCAGAAAGGUGAGUGAAAGUGUGCUAAACGGCGACGUUUCGACCAGGAUUCUGGUCUUCUUCAGGCCUAGCACACUGAUUAAUUGUAAAGAGAGCUUGUUGUUUUGUCUUUGCUGACAGAGAUCCUUCUCAUUCCUAGGUCAGAGUAGGUAUGACCGGCUCUGCUCCUCCGGCCUCCUUUUAUCUCCUCCCCCGGAUCCUCUACGGAAGCAAGCCCUCCCCCUGGCUACGGCACCUCCGUACGGGCUCCCUACGUGUCUGGGCCUUCCUCUAACUGAACUCUGCUGUUUUCUUGUUGUUUGCUGCUCAAAUGUUGCCAAAAAAUCAAAAUAAAGUGUCCAACUGAACUUAAGAAGUAACAAACCAAAAGUGAAACUUAACAGAAUGUAAACAAAGUAGCCAAGAUGGCUGCCCCCAGAGAUCUACAGGUCGACAGACAUGAUCUUAUUUUCUUCUUUUUUUCAGGUGUUCCAGGUAGGUAUGUUUGUUUUACAGGUGUUCCAGGUAAGUAUUUUUGUUUUACAGGUGUUCCAGGUAAGUAUUUUUGUUUUACAGGUGUUCCAGGUAAGUCUUUUGUUCUUUUUUUCUCUCCUUUUUUCCACAGGUGGUCCAGGUAGGUAUAAUGUUGGUGUAGGUAUGUGUUUUAGGUAGUUUUAGGUAAGUAUAUUCAGUCAUUUCAGGUCCAGGUAAGUAUGUCUGUGUGUUGUGUUCUUUCUAGGUGAGUUUUGUCCUGUGUUUUUGCUUUGCAGGUCCUAAUUUUGUGUGUACUGUGCUCUAAAUGUAGUUAUCCUAUGUGUAUUUAUGUGUCUGGUAAGUAUUUUAUGUGUAAAUGCCCUUUAAAUGUAAAUAACUAAUGUGUGUUUAUGUUUUCAGUAAGUAUUUUAGGUGUAAGCGUCCUUUAAUUGUGAAUAUCCCAUGUGUAUCUAUGUGUCAGGUAAGUAGGUAUGGUGUAAGUGUCCUUUUAAAUUUGAAACUAUGUGUGUGUUGUUAUUAACGAGCCAAUUGUGCCUGAAAUGACCAAAUAAACUGAGUGUAUCCAAUUGUCUGUCUCCUUCUUGAUGAAUUAUUUAUUUAUAUACUGUAUUGUCAAUGUAUUUAUUUAUUUAUUUAUUUAUUAAGUUAUUUACUCUUCUAUUAGCAGCCUUAAGGCUGUAUGAAUUAAUCUAUCUAUGCUAAACUAUUAUCUGUAUAAUUAAUUAAAUAAUGAAUUAAAUAAUGAUCUCUGAGGGUUAUAAUCUACUAUAUAGGUAUGUAUAAUAACUUCUUCUUUCUAGGGGGGUAAGGGAGGUUGGGGUUAGGCAAGAGCCAGACUGAGGUUGAGGUCAGGAGUCACCACAGGGUGAGGUUAGAAAGGAAAGGUCAAAGGUUGGGGUUAGGCAUGAAGGCAGAAGCUGUGACUCCGCCCCCCUCACUGACUCAUAUACCUCCAGUGACUCAUAUACGUCCACUGACUCAUAUAUCGCUAAUUAUAGUGAAUUAUAUUGAAUUAUAUUUAAUUAUAUUGAAUUCUAUUUAAUUGUAUUGAAUUAUAUUGAAUUAUAUUAAAUUGUAUUUAAUUAUAUUUAAUUAUACUUGACAUUAAGGCCGAAUGGCUCUUUUGUGCUCAAUAAGUAGAUCCAUUUCCGUUCCGCUUUUUUUCUCUCCACUCUGCUCCAGGUACAGUUUCCCUGCAGGCCGGCCACCCGGACGGAUGCCAGACCGUGCGACAGGAAGUGUCGGACCAGGGGAGUAUUAGUUUCCUUUUUGUUCCGAAUGUGGUAUGUGUGUUGUAACAUGCGUGUGCUUAGUGGGUUACUGGUUUCGCCCACGUACUGUACUCCGCAUUUUGCGCAGAAGAUGAUGUAGACGCAGUUUGCGGAUCGCGGACUGAAUUGUUGUGCGAUCUUAAAGACCGUCUUCGUUCUCUGAUUCUGAAUAUAAUUUUUAUUGACAAAAUAAUUUUCCAGCAGCUUCUUCCUGUGUUGUUGUAAUGGCUUUAAUUUCGCCCUAACCAGGAGAUCCCGGAGAUUCCUCUGACGUCUGAAUGCCGAGAUGACCUUGCAGUUCGGGAGGAUUUCCCCCUCGGCGAUGACUUCCUGGAAGCAGCGCCUGAGGAAGGGUCUGGAAUACCCUCUCUUCCGCAGCGCGCUGAAGAGGAGCCCGACUGCUUCCCGGAAGUCGUCAUCGCGCGUGCAGAUGCGCUUAAAGCGCAACAGCUGAGACUUGACAAUGCCCUUAAAUGUCUGGAUGGACGGAUCCUGCGAAUUUAGAGUGGAUACAAAGUCCGUGAAUUCGUCCUUUGACCCGGUCCAGAUCCCCCAGAUGUCAUCCAGGUUUGAUGACGACAUGCCUAUUGUGCAUCAGCUCCCGGAGAGCCUCGACCUCCUCACUCUGGAGGUUACAAGACUCCCUGCAGGGCCGAUAACACUCGGCAAAGGAGGAGAUGUCCCUCUCGAUCAGGUGGUGGACUUCCAAAGGUAAUUUCUCAGGUGGGGGCACCCAUGCUGAAGCCUCUGUGAACCGAGGUAUGUUUUGCCUGUCUGCUCCUUUAAAAUAUGCUGCUAACUUAAUUCUUCUGUGAUAAUUUUGUAAAUCACAUCUGAGCUCUGCUUUCUGAUCCUUCCCUAUGUCUAACGUGGGUACAAAUGUCAAACCCCGAGUCAGAAGCUGCUUUUGGGCUGUUGUAAGUGUGAAAUGUUUGGCUAGAACAAGGACAUUGUCUUUCUUCAGGGGCCGGUUACCCUUUGACCCUUGCUCUAUCCGGCUUACUGAGCUGUGAAGUUUAAACACGCCGCCCAGUGGUCGAGCAUGCGUACUGCAGUCUCCCUGGUCCAGUGGACAUUAUCACUGCCUGUAAUAAAGUCAGUGGCCUGUAUGGCAGGGAUGUAGGGCAUGUUUCUGGUGAUGUGGCUGUUCAAUAGGCUGAGAGUGUUCUUCUCCUCCGUCGGGAGGGAUGAAGAAAAGUUAAUUUGGGGGACCCAGAUCUCGGCGUGGCGAAACUUUCUCUUUGCCGCUCUGACGGCGCCCUGCAGUUGUUUGACUGCUGUUUCCCUCGCCUUCUGGCCUCUGCUGUUUAUCCCAAAAGCUAACACCACUUUCUCCACUGUCACCUGGCUAGUAGAUUUAGCCAUCAAGGCCUCAGCGUGGCGAAAAUUCGCUCCGGGGUAACUCUCCACCUGCAGAUCUGGGAUCUGGUGUCCCGGGAUCCUCGACAGCGCUGUGGACUAGGUGUGAGGGGCAGGCUAUCUUCCAGGUGGAAGCUACUGCUGCUAAAGUCAUCCUCCUGAUGUACUAGCACUGAUUCGCGCUGAGGUGUUCUGUCUGCCUGGGCAGCUGGCUGAGCUGCGGGGAUCGGCAUCAAAACUGGUGACUUUCCUCAGGAACCACACAACCCCGUGUCUCCCCCUGGCUGGCUCCCCGUGGGUGCUGUCUGGGCGGCAGGCCCCGCUCGGGCUUAAGAGGCUCCUCCACCCUGCUAGGGGCUGGUGUCUGCUUCACAACUGGGACGUGCUUAGGGACUGGUGGCUGUUGCGGGACAGCCGUCUCCGCAUCCAGCUCUGCUGUGGCUGCGAUCAGCGCCUCCGCGUGUUCCAACGCGUCAGCGGAGAUGUGAGAUUAGAUCCGUGGUACGUGUUGUGGGGGCUGCUGGCUUAAUCAUGGUAGCCAGCACAUUCUCCAUGCGGGAGAUCAUGCGCGGCUCCGGCUUGUCUGGUUUAACUGCAACAUUCUGCAGGUAUUGGCUGCUGGAAUGUGGCUGCAGGACCUGGCUGCUGCAGCCUGAGAGCAGGCCGUGGCUGCUGGAAUGUGGGGGCAGUCCGCGGAUCUCCGUGCCGCAGUACUGCCGCGUAAGUUCUCGCAGGAGCACCUACGUUGCGAGGCAGAAGUGGAGGAGGCACUGGCCUGUUAGGUGCGGGGAACUGAGCCCGUGCCGGAAAUGGCCGGGAAGGUGCACUGUCCUUCCCCCACCCUGCCUCUGUCACGCGAUCCCAGCCGGGAUCAUAGGUACGUCUCCCCCCGCGUCUGUACCUCACUUCUCUCCACACACCGUCCAUGUGGAAAAGGUAUCCUCACGGUGUAUUGAAGAUAUCAAAGAAAAAAAGAAAACCCCGUGAAAACAACCCAGAAGAGUAAAGAAAAGAAAAGCAAAGAAAAGGCAAAAGAAAGCAAAUGUCUUUCAAAAGAAAAAACACUGCACUUGAGCUGCAGAAAGGUGAGUGAAAGUGUGCUAAACGGCGACGUUUCGACCAGGAUUCUGGUCUUCUUCAGGCCUAGCACACUGAUUAAUUGUAAAGAGAGCUUGUUGUUUUGUCUUUGCUGACAGAGAUCCUUCUCAUUCCUAGGUCAGAGUAGGUAUGACCGGCUCUGCUCCUCCGGCCUCCUUUUAUCUCCUCCCCCGGAUCCUCUACGGAAGCAAGCCCUCCCCCUGGCUACGGCACCUCCGUACGGGCUCCCUACGUGUCUGGGCCUUCCUCUAACUGAACUCUGCUGUUUUCUUGUUGUUUGCUGCUCAAAUGUUGCCAAAAAAUCAAAAUAAAGUGUCCAACUGAACUUAA